AAGCCACUCUUACCUCAUUUUGCUGGUAGAAGAAGAAAGACAGAGAAAGGAAGGAAAAGGAGAGCAGCAACCGACACCUCCAUUUUUUAACCAAAAUUCGAAUCAUUCUUAUCUUCUUCACCAUUUUCUGCAUUUCUUCUAUCGGGUUUUUUAGUUUUAGUUUAUUUUUCGUAUUUUAUUCCUUCUUCUACCUUGAUUUUCUUAUAAUGAAUAUGGAUUAUGAGUAGUUUCUUUUGAUUCAAG
rnacentral:misc_RNA from 1 species